rnacentral:rRNA from 1 species
UACGUAAGGGGUGCGACGUUGUCGGAUUUAUUGGGUUUAAAGGGUGCGUAGGCGGUCCUAUAAGUCAGUGCUGAAAUAUCCCGGCUUAACCGGGAGGGUGGCAUUGAUACUGCAGGACUUGAGUAAAGUUGAGGUAGGCGGAAUUGACGGUGUAGCGGUGAAAUGCUUAGAUAUCGUCAAGAACACCGAUAGUGAAGACAGCUUACUAAACUUUAACUGACGCUGAGGCACGAAAAGUGUGGGGAUCAAACAGG